GAUGAACGCUGGCGGCAUGCCUAAUACAUGCAAGUCGAACGGACAGACCUAUUGAGAUGAAAGUGCUUGCACCGGAUUUGAUUUAGAUUUCUGUUAGUGGCGAACGGGUGAGUAACACGUGGGCAACCUGCCCCUUAGUUGAGGAUAACUGUUGGAAACGAUAGCUAAUACUGAAUACGAUGUACUAACGCAUGAUGGUAGAUUGAAAGAAGCGUUUGCUUCGCUAAGGGAUGGGCCUGCGGUGCAUUAGCUAGUUGGUACGGUAACGGCGUACCAAGGCUACGAUGCAUAUCCGGGCUGAGAGGCUGAACGGACACAUUGGGACUGAGACACGGCCCAAACUUCUACGGAAGGCUGCAGUAGGGAAUUUUUCGCAAUGGGCGCAAGCCUGACGAAGCAAUGCCGCGUGAGGGAUGAAGGUUUUCGGAUUGUAAACCUCUGUUAUAAGGGAAGAAAACCUAGUAUAGGAAAUGAUACUAGCUUGACGGCACCUUAUCAGAAAGGGACGGCUAACUACGUGCC
rnacentral:rRNA from 1 species